ACAGCCAGACAUAAAGUAAGUGCAGAUCAGUGUGAUAAAAUAACCUGAGACAUUCACUCCCUUUAAUGAUCCAGCAGUUACAUACAACAUUUAUAAUUGCACAGAGAUGACACUCUUUACGUAAUUAUUUGAUUGGGGUGUGUUUCGACCCACAGCCAUUCACUGUUUGCAUAAAUCACCUCCAUAAAAAGAACUGAUGAGGUUUGCAGGUGACAUAACACAGCUCAAAUCCAUUGGUUUCUCAAGGAGCAACAACAUUAAAAAAGGCAGCUUACCCAACUAAAACACAAAGCAGGAGGCAGGCUAACAACACAAGAAACAUGGCAAUGGAAAUAAAAUUGCAGGAUAGCGGAGGUACGUUCCCAAUAAUUUACUAUUCCUAAAAAACUGGCAGGAGAAGUCUGUACACGUGAAAAUCUCAGUGUGUUUGGGAGACUUAAACAAAGUAUUGAUUUUUAAGAUUUUUUUUUCACUUUUUCAUCAUGUUACUGAGUGAAAUACUUGGCUUAAAAAUAUCCAUAUUUAUCCUUGAUAUGUUCAAUUUUGGCCUUCAAAAGAGCUAUUGUGAACAAGGCAAGUCUAGUAAUGUUUCGUGGAGUGCCCAGGAAUCAUUAAUGAAAAGCACUAUUGGAUGAGAUUUGCUUAGACUUUUCGUUUUUCUAAACUUGAAAUAUACUGUAAGAAAACAAUUCUAGGACUGAAGGGAGUAUUCAACACACACACACAAAACUUGCCCUUUUUGAUUGAGUUCCAUUUGGUUUUUAAGCCCCACUUCAGUUACCCUUCUCCCAGUUCCAGCAACGAAACUGAACGGGGUGUCUGGAAGAAAUCAUUCCUGUAAACUUCCACCAGCCUCCCCUGUCAUCCUCUUUGUUAUGUCAUCCACCCCUUACCCUUGGCAUGACAGUCACCCGAUAUCUGUAUGGAAACCUCCUGUCUCUUUCCCUGUGAUAAUUCUGAUACAUUCACCCAACAAACACACACACACACGUCACUGGUCAAGGCUGGAGAACUUUUACCUUCACCAUUUCUGUUCUCAUCCAUCUCUCUGUCACUCCCAGGGACAUGCAGGGUACUGUGUGCUCUCCCAGCUUGCUCAGGGCCAGGUCAGAGGAGCCAGGCGGGUCCUACGAGCGCACCUUGUGCUUCAGUGGAAUGUUGAGCAAACCCCCACCACAGGUCAGCUAGAUCCCUGGGGUGUCCCUGAAGGUUGUGUUUUCAUAGGAUCACAGAAACAGAGCAUGGGUUUGGUGGAAAGGGACUUUAAAGAUUAUCUAGUCCCACCUCCCCCUGCCAUGGACAGGGAUACCCCCCACUAGCCCAGGUUACUCCAAGCCCCAUCCAACCUGGCCCGGAACACUUCCAGGGGUGGGGCAGCCACAGCUUCUCUGGGUAACCUAUGCCAGGGCCUCACCACCCUCACAGGGAGGAAUUUCUUACCAAUAUCCCAUCUAACCCUGCCCUCUGCCAAUGGGAAGCCAUUACCCCUUGUUCUGUCCCUCUAGACCCUUGUCCAAAGUCCCUCUCCAGCUCUCUUGGAGCCCCUUUAGGCACUGGAAAGGGCUAUGAGGUCUCCCUGGAGCCUUCUCCAGGUUGAAACCCCCAGCUCUCCCAGCCUGUCUCCUGAGCAGAGCUGCUCCAGCCCUCGGAGCAUCUCCAUGGCCUCCUCUGGGCUGUCUCCAGCAACUCCAUGUCUUUUUUGUGUUGUGGUCCCCACAGCUGGAGCUGGGGUCUCACCUGAGUGGAGCAGAAAGGGAGAAUCCCUUCCCUCAUCCUGCUGGUCUCACCUCUUUGGAUGCAAUUUUUGCAUCUCUACCAUUGCUAUGCAACACCAGGGUCUCCUCUUUUGGCAAGGGCACACCACCCUCCACAGCAGAGUCUGCUUUUUUUAACCUGCAUCUCCACACAGAAAACAAGCCAGUGUCAAAGUGUCUUCCAAAAGGCCUGUAUCUACUUAUGCCACAGCUUAAUCCUUGGUUAGAGACACUGAGAGGUCCUGGAUCCGACUCCGUGAUCUGAUUGCACCACACACUGCUCUGCAAUACCAAAGAAUUUGGUGCUAAGUCUGAUGGGUGAGUUUGAGACGCAAGAGGGGAGGAGGUUGUGGAAUCCAGGUCCCAGUCCCCUUUGUCACCAUUACAUUAUCUCACAGAAAUAAGACAAAAGGUCUGGGGCAUGGGACCAAUGAUUUCAAAUCCAUUAGCGUGCCAAGGCAACUGAGGAUCACACUGCUGGGAUCCAGAGCCAGUACUAACACUUGCUUCAGUGGUGUUUCUUACCAUCCAAAAUGAUGCAGAAAAGUGAGGGUUAGUGGCUGGAGACAGUUCCUGGCUAAGGCUGGACCUUCACGCAGUGGAAGGGGGACAGGGCAAGUUCCUUCCUGGACCUCUCCAGAGGAACACUGGUCUCCCAUGCAUAUCAUUAGAGGCUAUACAUUCCUGGCAGCCAUGCACAACCCAAAUUUUCUGGCUGUCCAGACAGUGUAAUGUUGGAAAAAAACCCCCGAGUUGGGUGCCCAGAGAGCUGGAAGAUCCCUAGUCCCAGCCUCUUGCUCUCAGAGAGGUUCACUCCAGGGCCUCUGGGCUCCCUGGCAGCAUGAGCUCUGCUGGCUCCACACAGAUCUCCUGCAGUAAGAAACUCCACUCAGUGUUUAGAUGUGCCUCAUCACCCUCACAGUAAUCACAGAUAUGAAGCUGCCUUUAUCUUUCAAAUCAUGCUUCCCUCAAAAAAUGACAUCAGACAUUUUUCACUGUACUUGUCUUUCCCUAGAUCUGCACUGCCCUUGGAAUCACUAUUUCAGUUGUAUCUUAUCUCAGAUUUAAUUCUGUGAUUUUGUCUUGGCCGAGGUCAGUCACAGCACUGCCUUAGAGUACUCUGAGUACUGGGACUCUGGAACUCUUCCAGCCUCCUCCAACCUCCCUGCUGUCCCAGGGAUGGCUAAUGAUUAACAGACCCUGCCAGAGUUCUCCUCAGACAGUCCCUGGGUCUCUGAGAUGCAAGUUUUCUAGCUGAUUUUUAAACAUGGAUAGCUAACUGAUGGUAUUUAGCUACUUAAUGGACUGGAAACAUCCUGUUUUGACAAGUGAUUGUAGGGAGCCAGAUGGAAGAAAGCAGUUCCAAUGGGGAACAGCCUCACUGUGAUGACCUCAGGAGCCCAUACUCAGAUGUGGUUGCUUCUUAAACACCUAUCUCCCUUUCGGAUGAAAUGGGCAUUCCUGGAAGGAUCUGAGCCUGAGGUAAAACUGGAAGAGGUCAAACCAACCCAGCAGCGCAGUUCCCAUGGCUGCAGAGAAAAGCUCAGUGCUGUGACUGCCUGUUAAUCACCUGGAUUCAGGAAAAAAAGGAAAAUGUCUUUCAACAAAGAACAAACCUGAAAAACCCUGGAUGCAUAAGAGAAGGUCCUAAUGGCCAUAUUUGAGUAAAAUGGCUCAGCACUCGCCCCAAGAAUAGAACAUAUCCUUUAUUUACUUUUGAAAAAAAAUAUUUCGUUACUUAAAAUUUAUUAAAAUACUGUUUAUCUAGAAGAGCUUUUAAAAAGUGAAUGGCAUGUGGUGGUUUGCACCAAUUAUCUUCCUGAAUAAACAGUUACUUUACUUGCUACCUGGAAAUACAGUUUUGCUACCAACAA